UACGUAGGGGGCGAGCGUUGUCCGGAGUUACUGGGCGUAAAGCGCUUGUAGGCGGUCCACCAAGUUUGGGGUGACAGUUGCCGACUUAAUCGGCAAAGUGCCUCAAAGACUGGCGGACUUGAGGGCCACAGAGGGACAUGGAACUCCAGGUGUAGUGGUGAAAUGCGUAGAUAUCUGGAAGAACACCAAAGGCGAAGGCAGUGUCCUGGGUGGUCGCUGACGCUGAGAGGCGAAAGCCAGGGGAGCGAACGGGAUUAGAUACCCCGGUAGUCCUGGCCGUAAACGAUGACCACUAGAUGUGCGGGGUAUCGACCCCCUGCGUGUCGGAGUUAACGCAAUAAGUGGUCCGCCUGGGGAGUACGGUCGCAAGAUUAAA
rnacentral:rRNA from 1 species